rnacentral:rRNA from 1 species
CCUACGGGUGGCAGCAGUAGGGAAUUUUCGGCAAUGGGCGCAAGCCUGAACGAGCGAUGCCGCGUGAGUGAAGAAGGCCUUCGGGUCGUAAAGCUCUGUUGCGGGGGAAGAAAGGCCGCAUUAGGAAAUGGGUGCUAACUGAUGGUGCCCCGCCAGAAAGUAGCGGCUAACUACGUGCCAGCAGCCGCGGUAAUACGGAGGUGGCGAGCGUUAUCCGGAAUGAUUGGGCGUAAAGGGUGCGCAGGCGGUACUGCAAGUCUGGAGUGAAACGCCUGAGCUCAACGUAUGCAUGGCCUUGGAAACUGGAGGACUGGAGAGCAGGAGAGGGCGGUGGAACUCCAUGUGUAGCGGUAAAAUGCGUAGAUAUAUGGAAGAACACCAGUGGCGAAGGCGGCCGUCUGGCCUGUUGCUGACGCUGAGGCACGAAAGCGUGGGGAGCAAAUAGGAUUAGAUACCCUGGUAGUC